rnacentral:lncRNA from 1 species
CUGGUAUAGAGGCAGCUAGAUAAAAUAAGCUAGCCAUGUGUUUAUGAGAGGCAUGGAGCAGAUUCGUUCCGCUCUUCUUGCAUAUGCCUCACAAGAGCCUUUGUUCUACUGACAAAAUCUCCCCAUGCCCUACAAUCCAGGGAGCAAUAAAAAAGGUAUCUUAAAAAUGUAGUGAUGUUGCCUACUCAACAGGGCUUUAAAUCAAAACAAAGUCUUCAGUGAGAAAAAAAGGCUUCUCGCUCUGGAAAAAUUCCCGGCCUUGUGUUUCCCAAAAUGCUAUCACAAAACAUCGUUAUCUUGUCUCUUCCUAUCUCUGGUGUGUCAUUGGAAUGGCCUGAAUGAAGUUGCUAUUUGUAGCAUAGGGCUCAUGCAAAGCUUGUAUCAAUGAAGACACUUAAUUGCUCCUCUUUGCAAUAUUAUGCAAUUGGUGCUUCUCUAAUAGUUCUCCUUGUCAAUGCCAGGAUCUCAUGACUCACUGUCAUGAGGGAGCCUUCUCCUUCCUGUGAGCAGUAAUCAGUUUACUAGCAAAUCUCUGUGAGCUCCUGCAUACGAGAAGACGCCUCCAUCCUUUCUUGCUAGCUUCCGGAAUGCAGCAAUCAGAUGUGCUCCAGAAGUGAUUGUAUUCAGAUGAAGAUAGUAAGGCACCAAGGCUGUGUAACACUUCUCAUCCUUCAUCUAAUAUACCACACAAUGCACUACAAGCCUCCGAGUGAAGGUGUUUGCUGCAGGAGGGCAGUCAUGCUGAAACACAUCUUCCAGAGGAGAUUUGCUGCUUUGGUUUACACAGGGCUGUGUAACAGUUCACAACAUCUGCUCCAUCGUGACUCCUUUCUUGGGGACAAACAUCUUCAGCAAACAAAUGGAAUGGGGGCUCAACCUGCGGCUCUGCCAGAACAGCCUCCAUCUCUCGCCAUCAAGCCACUGUGCAAAUUCUAGCGGGUGGAUUUAGAGCCAUAGAACCAUCGGACAUCCCGACAUGGAGGGGACCCAUAAGGACAACUCAAUCCGACUCGUGAGGACUGGUUACCCAAUGCCCACGUUACGAAUGCUGAAAAGAAAAGCAGAGGCAUCGGGAUGACUCCCGCCUACUCGGCCAUCGCUGUGCUAAAGCUUUAAUUUCUUCCCUGAGUUUUUAUCGUCGAGGGUGAUAAACGUAGGAACUGAUGACAGUGCGCAAAGCCAGCCCCUACGCACGGCCGGCUGCACUCGCAUCCAUCCAAUCGGGGCUGAAACGGAGCAGUUCGCACCUUCAAAUGCACUCAUCUGUGACCCUUUACAACAAGCCGACGGUGGCAAUGGGACGGCACAGUGCAGCCUCCCUGCCAUAAGCGUCUUUUGGGACUUUCCGAUCCCGACGUCGUCCAGUAACUUUGAAUAAAUUCGAUGUGUCGGUAACGCGAAGACCGGCG